CCUACGGGAGGCAGCAGUCGAGAAUCAUUCACAAUGGGGGAAACCCUGAUGGUGCGACGCCGCGUGGGGGAAUGAAGGUCUUCGGAUUGUAAACCCCUGUCAUGUGGGAGCAAAUUAAAAAGAUAGUACAACAAGAGGAAGAGACGGCUAACUCUGUGCCAGCAGCCGCGGUAAUACAGAGGUCUCAAGCGUUGUUCGGAAUCACUGGGCGUAAAGCGUGCGUAGGCUGUUUCGUAAGUCGUGUGUGAAAGGCGCGGGCUCAACCCGCGGACGGCACAUGAUACUGCGAGACUAGAGUAAUGGAGGGGGAACCGGAAUUCGCGGUGUAGCAGUGAAAUGCGUAGAUAUCGAGAGGAACACUCGUGGCGAAGGCGGGUUCCUGGACAUUAACUGACGCUGAGGCACGAAGGCCAGGGGAGCGAAAGGGAUUAGAUACCCGGGUAGUC
rnacentral:rRNA from 1 species